GGGGCUGCAGCCCUUGGUUAUCUCCAGAAACACCAGUGGCCCUAAUCUUGACCUUCCCUAAUUCCCAGACUUUGGGAAUUUGCUACAGUUGGGAUUAAUUCUGGUUUUCCUUCAAGCCUCCCAACCUCCAGCAUAACUUCACAUGAUAGUUUUUAGCUUUUGCUUGUAUCAACACAAGGACGAAUCUUGUCACAGUUGCCAGCCCCUCAGAACAGCAAUAUUCCUCCCCACCACUGCAGGCAACCACUGGAGCAUCACUCCUACUGACAUCUGAAGGAGCACAGCUCAUUUGCUGUGGUGAUUUAUUGGGAUCCUGUCACAGGCCUAGGGUCUUCUGAUUUGUGAGGGCUCUUACCCGGGCUCAGAUUUACCCAGGCACGACAGCAGCGCAUGCAGCAGUGAUGCUCACUGAUAUCAUCUCUUAAUUAUGUUUGCAGAAAACCGUUUAAUGAAUAGAGCUUUAGUGCCCUUCAUCUGAAACUUCACACUCAGCAACCUGCCCAAUGCUGACCUCAGUGUGAGCCAACCACUGUGCCACAGCUUGGCUUAUGUUUAGCAGGUCACUGGCUUUUUAAUGCAUUACCUUCAUAGGCUUGUACCAGAUAAAAUCACUCAGGAUCUGAGCCUGCUCCCGCCACAAUCAGUGGCACUGACUUCAGCAGGAGCAGCCAAGAGGAGGGUCUUUGCAGCUUCAACGCUUUGAAUGCUGUCGGGCUUCCAGAGAUAACGUGCAACACGUGGAAGAAGAGCAGAUUAAGGAAUAAAUAUUGUCUUUAUUAUUUGGUGGAUACAUUGCAUGAAAUAUGUACCAUGAUAAGAGAGUAUCAUCUGAUAUGACAGCUUGCAAAAUCAGGGACUGAAAAUAACUAGUGAUCCCCUCUUCCCUUUGUCUCUCAGAGAGUUUUUACCCACCAAUAAAGCCUCUUAUUUAUUUAAUACCAAUAAAUGCUAUUUACUGGUAUUAAACAAAGACAGAUGAUAGCAGGGGAGGCAGAGCAGAAGCUGGACUCCUUCUUACUCACCAUUCCCAUGUUCUCUAGCAACAGCUCCGUUUAAAUACUGACAAAACCCUGCCUCCCGUUAUCAGACGUGCUUUCAGACCAUGCUUAGCAUCAUGACAGUGUUUCACUGUUCUGCUGGGACCUGGGGCUUUCUUAUCCCUUGAAACAUUUCAAAACUCCAAGCUCUGCACAGCCAGGGGCUGGGGGAGAAAGGACAAGAGGGCAGGAGAAGCCUUAAAUGAAAGGCCACCACUGCCUCUGCUGCAAUCUGCCCAUGGCCGGGCUGGAGGGCAGGCAGGGGGAAUGCACUCAACAGAUCCUAGCAGAAGAGGAAUGCCAACCCCAGUUGCUUCUGGUCUCAGGAAAGAGUUUGCAUUGUGAUUUUCCCCCAUGCUGUUGUAGCUAGGAAUAAAUAAAAGAAGCUGUGUUAUUUGCAUUUUUAA